UCUCCAUUGUCCUGACCACAAAACCAAAGUUUGGAGGUCAAGACCACUCUUUUCUCUUUUGAUUGGUUGUGAAGAAAUGGGAAAUUAUGGUUUGAACCCAGUAACAAGACAAAAGUGAAA